rnacentral:rRNA from 1 species
CUUGCCCCAUAAGAGGUCCAGCCUGCCCAGUGACCUAGUUCAACGGCCGCGGUAUCCUAACCGUGCGAAGGUAGCGUAAUCACUUGUCUUAUAAAUAAAGACUAGUAUGAAAGGCACCACGAGAACUAAACUGUCUCCUCUUUCUAAUCCGUGAACCUAAUAUUUCCGUGAAGAAGCGGAGAUUUCUCAAUAAGACGAGAAGACCCUAUGGAGCUUUAAACAUCAUAAUCACUGCUAAUGAUUAAACUAUCCAGAUCCCCUCACCCCCACGCAAAAUGAUUAUAUGUUUUUGGUUGGGGUGACCGCGGAGAAAGCAUAUCCUCCGCGAUGAAAGGACCCACCUAAACAACAAGCUACAGCUUUAUGUAUCAACAAAUUGACACCAUUGACCCAAUAUAUUGAUUAACGAAC